GUGGCUGGUUAACCCCUUCCCUGCCCGAAGUGCCACCUCUCUGCUAAUCUUAAUUGGUGCCAAGCGGUGUCACUGGAGUGUUCUGCAAGCUCUGGCCCCUCCUGCCACUGCUGAAUUGUUUCCAGCAGAGGUGGCAGAAGGGCUGCGGGCCCGUGGCUAGGGUGGGAGGCAGCAGCCCAGGACAGCACCCUGGACACUGCCCUGCCCCAGGGAUGGUCCAUCCGGAGCCAGCCUCUGCCAGCUCCGGGGUGGCAGCCGACCACGGAUCCAAGUCAAAGAGUUGCCUUUGUUUCAUGGGGAGGAUUAAACCACGAGCUGCUCGUCAGCUGAACUUUGAAGUGUCUCCUCAGUGAUCUGAAAUUCGAUCAUGCAACAGAGAGACCUCUACAAAUACUCUUUUUGUGUUUGAAGCUGGAGACCAUCCAGUGGUUUAUUUUUAGGCACACAUUUGCACUGGCCCUGUUACAAUCCUGCCUCUGUUCUUGUGCAAUAAAAGGCAGAGAGGAUUCUCUUGACCUCCAGUAUCAAAUACAGAGAAAAUAAGGCAUUUGUCUGGAAAAGAACACCCAAAAUAGCAGGGAAGAGGUCAUGCUGUGCUAUGGACUGUUAGUGUUGAGAGACAAGAAAAAUGAGGAUUAUAGGAGCUGGCAGACUUCUUCUAAUGACACAUUCAUGAACACUGCUGGAAAAUUAUAUGUCAAUGCUAAUGAGUAUUUGUAGGUUUAAUGACCUGAGGUCUUUCCCUUUUACACUAAACACAUGCCUGAGAGUAAGAAAUAAUCCCUGCUGAGGUGAGUUCUCAGCUUUCUUCUAGGAUUUGUUCUAGAUCCAGAGCAUUUCCUUUGCUACACACAGAAACUGAUGCUCCUGCAUCAAGCAGUUCCUGUUCCCUGAACUCCUCACAGCCCCUCCCCAGGCUUUGCAACACCCUGAUGCAGACAGUCAUCACUACAUGCAUUUUCUGUCUUGCCCCCUCCUUGAAGAAGCUGGGGAAAGAGCCCAGAGGACCUGACUGGAUGUUUCAUUUCUGUCACAUCAGCAGGGCCAUCUGCACCAGGCAUUUCUCACUGACAAGAGAAGGAAGGUUAAAACCUCUCAUGACAGGUUAACAGCAUGAUUUGCAGCAACAGCUUCAAUAAAUGGUUGCAGGCAUGAAAGAGUAGCAGGCAGCUAAUCCUUUAAAGACUUAAGAGCAGCUACUACUUCAGCCCAAGUAAAUAUUUCAAAACAAAAUUAAUUAGUGGUGACUAGUGGAUUUGCUGCCCUUUGCUUUAACAGCCCAGGAUGAAACGGCGAUUCCUCCACAGAAUUUUUGCUUCAGUGCCAAACCUGCUGUUUCACAGGAGCUGAAAGUCCUCUCAAAUAAGAUUCAUCCCAGUUUUGUUCCUCUCUGAACGUCAGCGUGUUCUCAGAAUCACAGUCACAGAAUGUCCUAAGCUAGAAGGAACCCCCAAGGAUCAUCCAAGUCCAGUUCCUUCUCCUGUCCCUUUCAUUUAUCCCACUUAGGUGACCCUCCCUUCCCAAAAUGCUUCCUCUUCUCCCACCCUCUUUGCUUUUUCCAUCUAAACUUCCACUUCCUCUCCCCGCUCCCCAAACCCAAAUAAACAGGUUUUUGUCCCCUA